GCGGUGGAGCAUGUGGUUUAAUUCGAUGAUACGCGAGGACCUUACCUGGGCUCAAAUGUAUGUUGACGUAUUCUGAAAGGGAUACUUCUUCGGACAAUAUACAAGGUGCUGCAUGGUUGUCGUCAGCUCGUGCCGUGAGGUGUCGGGUUAAGUCCCAUAACGAGCGCAACCCCUAUCAUUAGUUGCCAUCAGGUCAAGCUGGGGACUCUAAUGAAACUGCCUACGCAAGUAGUGAGGAAGGUGGGGAUGACGUCAAAUCAGCACGGCCCUUACGUCCAGGGCUACACACGUGCUACAAUGGCCGGUACAAAGGGCAGCUACCUGGUGACAGGAUGCUAAUCUCAAAAGCCGGUCUCAGUUCGGAUCGGAGUCUGCAACCCGACUCCGUGAGGCUGGAAUCGCUAGUAAUCGCGCAUCAGCCAUGGCGCGGUGAAUACGUUCCCGGGCCUU
rnacentral:rRNA from 1 species